rnacentral:rRNA from 1 species
ACCCUGCACAGCAGAACGACCCGCGAACUCGUUAACAAACCGCGGGGAGCGGGUGGCGCUUGCGCCCCCCGCAACCCGAUGUCGGGGGCUUGGGCGGAAGCCCACGCUGCCCGACAAAAAAGUACCCCCGGCGCGGUCCGCGCCAAGGAAUCGAAACGAAGCAACGUGUGCCGUCUGCCCCGUUCGCGGGAAGUGGACGGCAACACGGUCUUCCAAUGUAUACUAAACGACUCUCGGCAACGGAUAUCUCGGCUCUCGCAUCGAUGAAGAACGUAGCGAAAUGCGAUACUUGGUGUGAAUUGCAGAAUCCCGUGAACCAUCGAGUUUUUGAACGCAAGUUGCGCCCGAAGCCAUUAGGCCGAGGGCACGCCUGCCUGGGCGUCACGCGCUCCGUCGCCCCGCAACCCCGAACCCCGAAACGGGCCAGGGCGCUUGUGGUGCGGACAUUGGUCUCCCGUGUGCCUUGCUCGCGGCUGGCCUAAAAUUGAGUCCCGGACGCUCUGUUCUGCGGCCGACGGUGGUUGAGAAGCCCUCGAAAACGUGCCGCUGCAGUGCUGCCCGAUGCGGACCCCUUGACCCUUGCGCUACCUCUCCCAUCUGGGUGAGGGAGCUCCAUCUGCGACC